rnacentral:lncRNA from 1 species
UUGUUUUUCCUAUGUAGAAACUGAGGCCCAGUUUCUGGGGAAGUGGCUUCCUCAAGGAGAUACGGCGCCUUUGACUCUCCUCCAGUAGCAUGGACAUGGAAGGCACCCCCAGAAAAUCUACUGGACUCAUCGUGGCCGCCCAUCCCUGUGGACUCCCACUGUGAACCACAGCCAAACCUGACUGAUAGCCACCAUCCAGAACCGGAAGUCUGUUUUUCUCUGGGUUCCCGCUCACUUUGUGGUGUUGUGCGAGCCCAGGCUCUGAAGGCUGUGAUUCCCACUUUCGUUAAUUCUCCUUUCCCAACCGCAAGGGGCUGCUCUGAAUGAGCUGCCUGCACUCUGCUUGCAGAGUGAUCUUAUUACAGGUCUCUGCUGCCCACAGGGUGUGAGACCAGCAGCUGGAGAAAUGCGGAGGUUCUGCCCUCCCGGGAGCCACCAAGUCUAGGGAACACUAGGCCUUUGUCCCCGGGGUCAGGGAAAUCCAUUUGCUGCGGAUUACAGCUGCGGCAGAGGUUCCAGGGAAGUGGAGGGGAAAGAUACUAAAACCAGAGCUCUCCAAACCCCGAGCCUAAAGCCCCUGGGGUAAAGUAGAGUGGAGCUUUUCCUAAUGGACCCAGAGACCGACAGGCAGUGAGAGGUCUAGUCCGCCCCACGAAGGCUGCUGGUAUUAUCGUUCCUGUAGGGGCUUGUGUGUGGAGUGUCUGAAAGGCGGGGUGAUGGGGUGACCCCGUUCCUUUGCUCUGGUUCUGCCUCUCCUCUUGGUUGCUUCUCUGCCAGAGGCGUAAGUCAGUGAUUGCGGAGCGUUCAGGCUCUCUAGAUGUAGGGCGCCUGGGGAGGCCACUGCACACCUCCGAGCUGCUGCGUUGACAUAAAUAUCCUGAUUUACACCCGCCUCAUUGUGCCUCUGGCAGCUCUCUGAGGCCACUGAUACAUUGGAAGCAGUCCAAAUGGAUUCAGCUCAAAUCUCCUCCAAAAGUUCCCUUUCUCUCCCCAAUCCUCCGCAUGAUGCCUCCUUCAGAGUCUCCAGAAACCAAAGUAAAUAAAUGAAGGCUCACAAAGACGGAAAUGAAGGAU